rnacentral:rRNA from 1 species
UACCGCGGUUAUACGAAGGGCUCAAGUUGACAGUCAGCGGCACAAAAGGUGGUUAAGUAAAUACUAAACUAAGGUUGAAGGCUUUCAAAGCUGUUAAACGCAUUCGAAAGUAUGAAAAUCACAUACCAAAGUAACCUUAUUAAUCUGACCCCACGAAAGCUAAGAAA